UUUGAUGGAUGAGCAAGGGAAGUUGUUUCUUGAGAUGGAAUCUACUACUGGUGAGGAUGCUGUAAA
rnacentral:pre_miRNA from 3 species